ensembl:lncRNA
CGCUGGGAUUGGGAUAUAGCAAUUCAAUAUUUCUAUGGGUAGUAGAACGCUUAGGUUUUCCCUGAAGUACACUCCGUUCCCUGAACGCAUCUCUGCACAGAGUGCGCGCCGCACACCCUAAUAACUCAAUCCGAUUCCAUCUACAGCUCUUACAGCCAAUGAGAAUAAGGCUGUUCGGGCUAGCUAGCCAAUGGGAUAGAUCCAUGAUUUGAUUCGUCCCCGCACGUGCGGCUCGGUGACGGUGACUUGUCACUCGAUUGCAUUGGUCAUCAACCGUCUUUUUUACAUGACCACGGAAUCAAAAACAUAAACAACAGCAAAUGAGUGGCGUGUUACGAUCGAAAACACAGGGUAACUAGGCUUGGAGGUUUGGAGAGGGAAAGAGAAGAGCAAAUGAUUGGGAGUAGGAGAAGGGAGUCGUCAUGAGCAAGAGGAAGCAAGAGGGUUGCAGAGACAUUCGGCAAUGUUUUGCCUCGUCUCAGAAAAGAAGCAAAGUAACUAAAGAGGGUUGACACACAACUCUACACAGC